rnacentral:rRNA from 1 species
AUACGGAGGAUCCGAGCGUUAUCCGGAUUUAUUGGGUUUAAAGGGAGCGUAGGUGGAUUGUUAAGUCAGUUGUGAAAGUUUGCGGCUCAACCGUAAAAUUGCAGUUGAAACUGGCAGUCUUGAGUACCGUAGAGGUGGGCGGAAUUCGUGGUGUAGCGGUGAAAUGCUUAGAUAUCACGAAGAACUCCGAUUGCGAAGGCAGCUCACUAGACUGUUACUGACACUGAUGCUCGUAAGUGUGGGUAUCAAACAGGAUUAGAUACCCUGGUAGUCCACACAGUAAACGAUGAAUACUCGCUGUUUGCGAUAUACAGUAAGCGGCCAAGCGAAAGCAUUAAGUAUUCCACCUGGGGAGUACGCCGGCAACGGUGAAACUCAAAGGAAUUGACGGGG